rnacentral:lncRNA from 1 species
CCUGCCCUCAGCCUCCUUCAAAGUGGCCGCUGGGGCUGGGGUCUGUCUUUGCAGAGGUGCCAGGCCACAUGCCCUGCCCACCUCUACCAGCUAUGCCGCCUCUGAAGUUCCUCCAGCGGCACUGAGGAGGGGCCCUGUGGUCGAGGGUGCAGUUAAACGAGGCCCGACCGGGUAGUUGAGCUCAGCUUGGCUGUACUUGUCUUCCUUGGACCUGCUGGGCACCCCCAGAAUGCAAUACAGCAAUGAGAGUGGCCAGCCACUGCUACUACAUGCAGCCCCAUGGAGGACUCUCACAGAUACAACUCUGAACGAAAGAGGCCAGGCGUGAACAGCACAGGUGGAACUGAGGAGUCCCAACCCAGGGCAGGAAGGGCACAAGAACAUCGUCCUGUUUGUGGACUCACCUGGUAGUUACCCGGAUGUGUUCACUUUUGAUAAUUUAUUAAGGAAUAUUUUUAUGAUUGGUGCACUUUCCUGUAUGCAUGUUAUAUUUCAAAAACAAGUUUUCAUGAAAAAAAAAAAAAGCAAACAAAUACAAAUGCUGUCUGCUGUCCCCUCCUGUCCUCCCAUGCCCUUGCCCUGUGCAGGCCAGCACCGCCUCCCCCUGGAUGGCUGCCCUGGCCUUCCUCUCAUGUGCUCACCUCCCCAUACCUCCCACUCCCACUCCAAAUUAUAGUCGCCAGGCUUAGCAAUAAAAGUACACAAAUGCCAAAAAAGUUAUUCACUGUUUAUCUGAAAUUCACAUUUGACUGAGGGUCCUAUGUUUGACCUGACAACUCUACUCCUGAUGCGUGUUCAAC